rnacentral:lncRNA from 10 species
UCUUUUAUUUACCACAUUCAUACAUGCUCAUUUUUAAAAGUCAAUCCAGAAAUGUCCAUGCUAAAUAAACAAAAGACGCUGCCCUGCCCCUUCCUCAACCAAUUUCAUUCCCCUCCCUCACAAAAAAUUACUGCGGGCAGCUUGGCAUGCCCUGUGUAAACACACACCCACACGCACAGACACCAUGUAUGUGUCUGUGCCAUUGUCAUGUGUUUUGAGCUGUUUCCCAGCACUCUGUGUGGUGACCUAAUGAGGCUCUCCAUCCUCGUCGGCGCACAUGGAACCCCCUCGUUCUCACUGAACAGCCUCAGGCUCCUUCACACGCUGCGUCUUCUUUACAGCCUGCCAGUUAAACCCAAUGUUUUUACCUUGGAAAAUGUCACGGGCUGUUCUCCAGAAGCAGCAGUGAGCUGGUUCAUUGACGUUUGGUGACUUGUUCAGUUGUGCUCCUCACAUUCCAUUACUGCCACACCUACAGACACGUUGGUGUUUCACAAAAAGGCAAAUUCCAAAAGGCGACUGGGAGGAGCUUGCUAGCCGAGGCUCUUCUGCAGAGUGUUUUUUGGUCUUAAUGCUUCUGAAAUGCAUUUUAAAAUAAGCCAAACUGGUCAUGUGGCACCUGUGAUAUUAUCUAGAAAAGUGUGACUUGAGGGAAUUUCUCCAGAAUCAAAGAUGUCUGAACGUGUCUGCAUGAACAGAACCCAGGACGCUCCUUACUAAGCAGGCUCUGCAGAACAAACGCAAGCCAGGAGGAAAAGAGGAAAACAUUAGGGAGUUGAGAACAUGCAGCAAAUAUCCUCGAAACUGUGAAUGGACAGCGCCCUGGAUCAUAAGGAGUAGAGACACCACUGACCACUCUCACUGCGCCAUGGUCACGUCUUUCAGGAAAGGGUGGUGUGACCACGAACUGCACGUCUGCUACAGGGCAGGGCUGUGGGCUUCAGGGCAUGACUGUAAACAAAUUUCAAAAAUUUUAGACACAUUUCGAAAAAUGUGAAGCCCUAAUGUCCAUCCACUUCUGGAUAUCAUUUCACAUCUAUCGUAUCUUUCCUACUUUUGAAGACUACUGCAGUUGAAAUCUUGUAAAUUCUACCAGAGGAGAACCCUGGGAUGGCCUUUCGUGAUAUGAAGAUUAAGCAGCCAUAUUUUACUCAUCCCAAUCGCAGAGCUGUUUUUAUUAUACAUUUAUGCAUCCUUUUGUAACAUACAUUUUGGGAGUUAUCCAAUGGCCAUCCAUUUUGUGAACCAGUUUGGCCCAGCUUGUGUCAAGUAGUUAGAAGCUGAGAAAGAAUGAAAGUGCACAAUUAGUCACAAAUUCUCCUCCAAUAUGUGAAUAAGAAAUUAAGCACCAUUUGCUGAUGGAUCAUCAAUAAGUAUUACAGAAAACGUAGGUGUUGAGAAGCCACAUGGCUCAUUUGACAUCACACAGCGGAGGGAAGACAGGACUGGAAACCACAACCUGAUGUCUGGAUGUUACUUUUGUGGCAGCUGUAAUUGUGAUUAUCGUUACUUCUUUGUCCCUGGUACUACAUAUUUCAUUUUAUAACACAUAAAAGUAAUUUUAUAGAAAUGUCUUGGAAGCGUUCCAAAUGCAGUCCAAACACAGGGGAGAGGGUGACUUAAGUUCAAGAUAAAAGCCACUAAGACCUUCCCCAUAGCCUUGCUACCAAGAGAGCUGGCCCUUCAUGGCCAAGUAUUCCCAUCCGGCUCGCUAAGCACAUGCCUCGUCCCUCCCUUCCCAGCCUCUCAUCCACACAUCUGGAAAGCCUGUUCUCCCAAGUGAACUUGGUCUGGCUCAGGAAUCUUGACAUUCCACUCAAAUGAAAGAGCGUAUUGUUGAAAACUAGCUGCAGAGAGACACAUAGACAGACAGGGAUACAAACAGUGUCAUCGCGUGAUAUUUCACAUCUAAGAAUGGAGCUCAGCAGCAACACACCAGACUGGCGGGGGUGGGGGUUUGGGGGGUGGGACGUGGUGAGAAAUGCAGUCCUUUCAAAUUACUCCUUGACAUUCUAGAAGGUCUAUCCCAACACACAACUGAUGUUUUGAUUGAUGAGCACCCUGGGGCCUUUGCCCCCUUGGAGGCCUUGAGCUCAGCCUCCAGAGAGGAUAUGAAGAUGCCACUUUAGGUGCACCCCUGGCUCCUGAAGCUCACAGUCCUGGCCGAGACGCCCAGUUUCCUUCUUCUUUUCUCAAUUUUUUAUUUCAUAAUAGGAUUCCUGGCCAGGUACAGAGUCUCACGCCUGUAAUCCCAGCACCUUGUGAGGUCAAGGCAGGAGGAUUGCUUGAGCUCAGGAGUUCAAGACCAUCCUGGGCAAUAUAGUGAGACCCUGUCUCUACAAAAACAAAAUUAAAAGAAAAAAUUAGCCAAGUGUGGUGGUACAUGCCUGUGGUUCCAGCUACUUGAGAGGCUAAGGUGGGAGGAUCUCUUGAGCCCAGGAGUUCAAGGCUGUGGUGAGCCCUGAUCACACUGCACUCCAGCCUGCACAACAGAGCAAGGCCUUGCCUCCAAAAAUAUAUAUAAUAAUAAAAUAACAAAAAAAAUGCCAGAGAAUGGCACGCACAGAUUGCCUUCAGCAUUGAGUGUUCACGUCCCGGAAUUCACUGAAACAUGGGAACCUAGGAGUGACCUGAGGAGCCCAGCCUUUCCAAAAUGGAAAUGCAGCUGGCGACAUGAAGAACAGAAACACCAACUGCAUGGGGCCUGGAAAGGCAUCUCCCCUUUACUCCACCAUCAUCACAGCUUUCCCGAGGAGAGAGGGAAUGGUUGAGGCCAUUUGACUAUUGUUUUUCACCAGGACCACCUCCCACCCGAUGGAGGCCACAGGCUCAGCUGACGUCCUAACUAUUGACGGUCAUCUUUGACACACACAUCAUAUGUGGUGGGUCAGCUGUGGAAGUAGGGGUGGAAGUAGGGAUUUCUUGUAAGACAUGCCCUGGCAGCUCCCAAAGAAACAAAGGGCAAAUGCUGCUUUCUCCGGAGUUGUGGAGAAGCAUCUUCAAGCCUGUAGCCCUCUCCUGAAGCCAGAUGAAGGACAGGUGUUCCAACCGCAUGUUUUUAUGACGCUGAGUUUGGAUCUGUUUUUCUCCAGACUCACACUGAAACCCUUCCUCCAAGGGCUCUCAGCCCAACAAGAUACUGGAAAAGAGGUUUGAACCCAGCUCCUCUAGUUCCCUAUUGGCCUAACUGUUUAGUCAGAGCUGCCAGCACCAUCGUUUCUGGAAGGAGCUCCUGGUGGUGAGGCUGUGCUAGAACCUGGAGAGAAGGGGCCCUUUGCCUCACCAGCAACACAGCUUGAAUCCCAGCAGAUGAAGGAGAUCCAUGCAGUCAUCACCGGGUGUUCUCUGCAGCCUCGGUGACCCUCAGGGGAGCUUCCCGGAAAGGCAGGCGCUGCCCUGGAGCCUCUUUAGCAGGAGCUGAGCACGUCAAGUCUCAAGUGUGAGCUUUAAGUUUGGCCUGAGCUAUUCAGCUGUAGCCACUUAAACAGAGAAAAACCUGACAACUCGUCACUAAGGCAAUAAGUCAAAAAGCAACUUUUGUAAAAACCUAGUGACAUAAAUGCUCUACAGGGCAAAUCAGAUACUGCGGCAAAUACAGAAGUAAGGCCCACAGCUACUGCCCAGAGCAAGCUCUCCUACACCUGCUAAGCCCCCUCACCCAACCCUCUGAGGCGGGGCCAAAACCUGUGGCCAGACCCAGGAAUUCUGGUCGUUCCUUGAUGGAGGCCAGAGACCUGGCCAAGGUCGUUAGAGUAGACUCCGUGGAAGCACAGAGUAGAAUCUAAAAGCAACUUAGAUUUGGAUCUUCGGGAACAAGUAAGUGCACCUCAGAUCUGGACAUAAGCCCUUUCUGGUAGCACUGUUUUCUAGAAAGAAGACUGUACUAAAGUUCUGGAUAACUCUCUCCCUGCCCCCAGUGACGUCUCAGAGCAGCCUCAUGGACUGACUUGACCAGGCUCCCAGGCCCCCUGCCUCCAGCCCAGCUGUCCUUCCCUCUGUCCCCAGGGCUCAGUGUCUCUCUUUCUCUCUCUCCUUCUUUCUCUCUCUCCAACUGUUGUUUCCUGCUCUUCUACUUUCUCCAUCUUCCUCCCUCUCAUCUUUCCUUCUCUCUUAUCUCUCUCUUCCUUUCACUCUCUAUCUUUUUGGCUCUCUCCUGCCUAUCCUCCCUUCCCUCUCCUCCUCUCUAUCUCUUCAUCUCUCUCUCCUCUCCCGUCUCUGUCCGUGUGUGUGUGUCUCUCUCUCCCCAACUCACGUUUCU